rnacentral:rRNA from 1 species
UACGUAGGGUGCAAGCGUUAUCCGGAAUGAUUGGGCGUAAAGCGCACGUAGGCGGACUCUUAAGUCGGUGGUGAAAUCCUGGAGCUCAACUCCAGAACUGCCUUCGAUACUGAGAGUCUCGAGUCCGAGAGAGGUGAGUGGAACUGCGAGUGUAGAGGUGAAAUUCGUAGAUAUUCGCAAGAACACCAGUGGCGAAGGCGGCUCACUGGCUCGGUACUGACGCUGAGGUGCGAAAGCGUGGGGAGCAAACAGG